UACGGAGGGUGCAAGCGUUAUCCGGAUUCACUGGGUUUAAAGGGUGCGUAGGCGGGCAGGUAAGUCAGUGGUGAAAUCUCCGGGCUUAACCCGGAAACUGCCGUUGAUACUAUCUGUCUUGAGUAUCGUGGAGGUAAGCGGAAUAUGUCAUGUAGCGGUGAAAUGCUUAGAUAUGACAUAGAACACCCAUUGCGAAGGCAGCUUACUACACGAUCAUUGACGCUGAGGCACGAAAGCGUGGGGAGCAAACAGG
rnacentral:rRNA from 1 species